UUUCGCAAUGCCCGAAAGGGUGACGAAGCGACGCCGCGUGGGUGAGGAAGGCCCUCGGGUUGUAAAGCCCUGUCGGGAGUUAAGAAAUGUAAGUGCGCUAAUAUCGCAUUUAUUUGACGAAGGCUCCAAAGGAAGUCACGGCUAACUCUGUGCCAGCAGCCGCGGUAAUACAGAGGUGGCAAGCGUUGUUCGGAAUUAUUGGGCGUAAAGAGCACGUAGGUGGGUUUGUAAGUCAGAUGUGAAAGCCUUCUGUUCAACGGAAGAAUUGCAUCUGAAACUACGAGUCUUGAGUGUAGGAGGGGAGAAUGGAACUUCUGGUGGAGCGGUGAAAUGCGUAGAUAUCAGAAGGAACGCCGGCGGCGAAAGCGAUUCUCUGGCCUGUUACUGACACUCAGUGUGCGAAAGCUAGGGGAGCAAACGGGAUUAGAUACCCCGGUAGUCCUAGCCGUAAACGAUGGGCACUAAGUAGAGGGGUUUU
rnacentral:rRNA from 1 species